UACGGAGGGUGCAAGCGUUGUUCGGAAUCACUGGGCGUAAAGCGUACGUAGGCGGUUCGGUAAGUCGGGUGUGAAAGCCCAGAGCUCAACUCUGGAACUGCACCCGAUACUGCCAAACUUGAGUGUGGGAGAGGGAAGCGGAAUUCCUGGUGUAGCGGUGAAAUGCGUAGAUAUCAGGAGGAACACCCGUGGCGAAAGCGGCUUCCUGGCCCAUUACUGACGCUGAGGUACGAAAGCGUGGGGAGCAAACAGG
rnacentral:rRNA from 1 species